GCAGUCGAGCGGACAGAUGGGAGCUUGCUCCCUGAUGUUAGCGGCGGACGGGUGAGUAACACGUGGGUAACCUGCCUGUAAGACUGGGAUAACUCCGGGAAACCGGGGCUAAUACCGGAUGCUUGAUUGAACCGCAUGGUUCAAUUAUAAAAGGUGGCUUUUAGCUACCACUUACAGAUGGACCCGCGGCGCAUUAGCUAGUUGGUGAGGUAACGGCUCACCAAGGCAACGAUGCGUAGCCAACCUGAGAGGGUGAUCGGCCACACUGGGACUGAGACACGGCCCAAACUCCUACGGGAGGCAGCAGUAGGGAAUCUUCCGCAAUGGACGAAAGUCUGACGGAGCAACGCCCCGUGAGUGAUGAAGGUUUUCGGAUCGUAAAACUCUGUUGUUAGGGAAGAACAAGUACCGUUCGAAUAGGGCGGUACCUUGACGGUACCUAACCAGAAAGCCACGGCUAACUACGUGCCAGCAGCCGCGGUAAUACGUAGGUGGCAAGCGUUGUCCGGAAUUAUUGGGCGUAAAGCGCGCGCAGGCGGUUUCUUAAGUCUGAUGUGAAAGCCCCCGGCUCAACCGGGGAGGGUCAUGGGAAACUGGGGAACUUGAGUGCAGAAGAGGAGAGUGGAUUUCCACGUGUAGCGGUGAACUGCGUAGAGAUGUGGAGGAACACCAGUGGCGAGGGCGACUCUCUGGUCUGUAACUGACGUUGAGGCGCGAAAGCGUGGGGAGCGAACAGGAUUAGAUACCUUGGUAGUCCACGCCGUAAACGAUGAGUGUUAAGUGUUAGAGGGUUUCCGCCCUUUAGUGCUGCAGCAAACGCAUUAAGCACUCCGCCUGGGGAGUACGGUCGCAAGACUGAAACUCAAAGGAAUUGACGGGGGCCCGCCCAAGCGGUGGAGCAUGUGGUUUAAUUGGAAGCAACGCGAAGAACCUUACCAGGUCUUGACAUCUUCUGACAACCCUAGAGAUAGGGCUUCCCCUUCGGGGGCAGAGUGACAGGUGGUGCAUGGUGGUCGUCAGCUCGUGUCGUGAGAUGUUGGGUUAAGUCCCGCAACGAGCGCAACCCUUGAUUUUAGUUGCCAGCAUUCAGUUGGCCACUUUAAGGU
rnacentral:rRNA from 1 species